rnacentral:rRNA from 2 species
UUCCGGUUGAUCCUGCCGGACCUGACUGCUAUCGGAUUGAUACUAAGCCAUGCGAGUCAUUGUAGCAGUACAAGGCAGACGGCUCAUUAACGCGUAGUCAAUCUACCCUAUGGACGGGAAUAACCUCGGGAAACUGAGAAUAAUGCCCGAUAGAACAUUAUGCCUGGAAUGGUUUAUGUUUCAAAUGAUUUAUCGCCAUAGGAUGGGACUGCGGCCUAUCAGUUUGUUGGUGAGGUAAUGGCCCACCAAGACUAUUACAGGUACGGGCUCUGAGAGGAGUGGCCCGGAGAUGGGUACUGAGACCCGGACCCAGGCCCUAUGGGGCGCAGCAGGCGAGAAAACUUUGCAAUGUGCGAAAGCACGACGAGGUUAAUCCGAGUGGUUUCUGCUAAAGAAACCUUUUGUCAGUCCUAGAAACACUAACGAAUAAGGGGUGGGCAAGUUCUGGUGUCAGCCGCCGCGGUAAAACCAGCACCUCAAGUGGUCAGGAUGAUUAUUGGGCCUAAAGCAUCCGUAGCUCGUUUUGUAAGUUUUCGGUUAAAUCCAUACGCUUAACGUAUGGGCUGCCGGGAAUACUGCAUAACUAGGAAGUGGGAGAGGUAGACGGUACUCGGUAGGAAGGGGUAAAAUCCUUUGAUCUAUUGAUGACCACCUGUGGCGAAGGCGGUCUACCAGAACACGUUCGACGGUGAGGGAUGAAAGCUGGGGGAGCAAACCGGAUUAGAUACCCGGGUAGUCCCAGCUGUAAACUAUGCAAACUCAGUGAUGCAUUGGCUUGUGGCCAAUGCAGUGCUGCAGGGAAGCCGUUAAGUUUGCCGCCUGGGAAGUACGUACGCAAGUAUGAAACUUAAAGGAAUUGGCGGGGGAGCACCACAA